CGGUACUUUAUGGCCCGAGCCCAGUUAUUGCCCCACUCAAUCAUGGUCCCUGGCUUGAGUUUGUAGGUCCUCAGCUCAUAGAUGUUGGGCCCCUUGCGGGGCAGGGGCUCAUUCCAAAAGCUGAACUCCAGCAGCAGCUGGUUCCUGCGGGACAGCAGCAUGCGGCUCCUCUCCUUGCGGAAAUCCAGGUACUCCUUAUUCUGCUUCAGCUUGUUCAUGCAGUCCAUGAGGGCUGGGUACCCACCAGAGAAGCGCCAGAGGUGCACUGCCUGGUCCUGCUCCCCAUACCACGUGUUCCAGUUCCCAACCAGGUCACAAGGGUAAUCGGCAUCCGAAUGCAGCUUGGGCAGCACCUCCUCCGUCAGGCUGUUGUAGGCAUCCAGACAUUCUGGCUUCACGUUGUGAAACUGGAUCUUGUAGAGGUUGCUGGUCUCUUUCUUGGACAGAAGAUUGGAGUGGGCAUCCUUGCGGGGAUCCACCUUGUGCACAAACAGGGAGCGGAACCAGCUGCCCUCAGCAUCCCGUGAGUACGCCCGCGCCCCGCUGAAGGCCCCGCCGCCGCCGCCGCCGCCUUGCAGCCGCCGCAGCAGCACCGCACCGCCUCCUGCCCGCGCCGCCGCCAU
rnacentral:lncRNA from 1 species